rnacentral:rRNA from 1 species
AGCGAACGCUGGCGGUAGGCCUAACACAUGCAAGUCGAACGGCAGCACCGUAAGAGCUUGCUCUUACGGGUGGCGAGUGGCGGACGGGGGAGGAAUACAUCGGAAUCUACUUUUUCGUGGGGGAUAACGUAGGGAAACUUACGCUAAUACCGCAUACGACCUACGGGUGAAAGCAGGGGAUCUUCGGACCUUGCGCGACUGAAUGAGCCGAUGUCGGAUUAGUUAGUUGGCGGGGUAAAGGCCCACCAAGGCGACGAUCCGUAGCUGGUCUGAGAGGAUGAACAGCCACACUGGAACUGAGACACGGUCCAGACUCCUAGGGGAGGCAGCAGUGGGGAAUAUUGGACAAUGGGCGCAAGCCUGAUCCAGCCAUACCGCGUGGGUGAAGAAGGCCUUCGGGUUGGAAAGCCCUUUUGGUGGGAAAGAAAAGCAGCAGGUUAAUACCCCGCUGUUCUGACGGUACCCAAAGAAUAAGCACCGGCUAACUUCGUG